rnacentral:rRNA from 1 species
GGGUUGUGAGGUUAAGCGACUAAGCGUACACGGUGGAUGCCCUGGCAGUCAGAGGCGAUGAAGGACGUGCUAAUCUGCGAAAAGCGUCGGUAAGGUGAUAUGAACCGUUAUAACCGGCGAUGUCCGAAUGGGGAAACCCAGUGCAAUUCGUUGCACUAUCGUUAACUGAAUACAUAGGUUAACGAGGCGAACCGGGGGAACUGAAACAUCUAAGUACCCCGAGGAAAAGAAAUCAACCGAGAUUCCCCCAGUAGCGGCGAGCGAACGGGGAGCAGCCCGGAGUCUGAAUCAGCUUGUGUGUUAGUGGAAGCGUCUGGAAAGUCGCAGGGUACAGGGUGAUACUCCCGUACACUAAAACACACAGGCUGUGAACUCGAAGAGUAGGGCGGGACACGUGGUAUCCUGUCUGAAUAUGGGGGGACCAUCCUCCAAGGCUAAAUACUCCUGACUGACCGAUAGUGAACCAGUACCGUGAGGGAAAGGCGAAAAGAACCCCGGCGAGGGGAGUGAAAAAGAACCUGAAACCGUGUACGUACAAGCAGUAGGAGCCCACUAGUUGGGUGACUGCGUACCUUUUGUAUAAUGGGUCAGCGACUUAUAUUCUGUAGCAAGGUUAACCGAAUAGGGGAGCCGCAGGGAAACCGAGUCUUAACUGGGCGUUAAGUUGCAGGGUAUAGACCCGAAACCCGGUGAUCUAGCCAUGGGCAGGUUGAAGGUUGGGUAACACUAACUGGAGGACCGAACCGACUAAUGUUGAAAAAUUAGCGGAUGACUUGUGGCUUGGGGUGAAAGGCCAAUCAAACCGGGAGAUAGCUGGUUCUCCCCGAAAGCUAUUUAGGUAGCGCCUCGUGAACUCAUCUUCGGGGGUAGAGCACUGUUUCGGCUAGGGGGUCAUCCCGACUUACCAACCCGAUGCAAACUACGAAUACCGAAGAAUGUUAUCACGGGAGACACACGGCGGGUGCUAACGUCCGUCGUGAAGAGGGAAACAACCCAGACCGCCAGCUAAGGUCCCAAAGUCAUGGUUAAGUGGGAAACGAUGUGGGAAGGCCCAGACAGCCAGGAUGUUGGCUUAGAAGCAGCCAUCAUUUAAAGAAAGCGUAAUAGCUCACUGGUCGAGUCGGCCUGCGCGGAAGAUGUAACGGGGCUAAACCAUGCACCGAAGCUGCGGCAGCGACGCUUAUGCGUUGUUGGGUAGGGGAGCGUUCUGUAAGCCGUUGAAGGUGGCCUGUGAGGGUUGCUGGAGGUAUCAGAAGUGCGAAUGCUGACAUAAGUAACGAUAAUGCGGGUGAAAAACCCGCACGCCGGAAGACCAAGGGUUCCUGUCCAACGUUAAUCGGGGCAGGGUGAGUCGACCCCUAAGGCGAGGCCGAAAGGCGUAGUCGAUGGGAAACAGGUUAAUAUUCCUGUACUUGGUGUUACUGCGAAGGGGGACGGAGAAGGCUAUGUUGGCCGGGCGACGGUUGUCCCGGUUUAAGCAUGUAGGCGGAUGUUCCAGGUAAAUCCGGAACGUUAUUAACGCUGAGGUGUGAUGACGAGGCACUACGGUGCUGAAGUGACAAAUGCCCUGCUUCCAGGAAAAGCCUCUAAGCAUCAGGUAACAUCAAAUCGUACCCCAAACCGACACAGGUGGUCAGGUAGAGAAUACCAAGGCGCUUGAGAGAACUCGGGUGAAGGAACUAGGCAAAAUGGUGCCGUAACUUCGGGAGAAGGCACGCUGAUGGUAAGUGAAGUGACUUGCUCAUGGAGCUGAAAUCAGUCGAAGAUACCAGCUGGCUGCAACUGUUUAUUAAAAACACAGCACUGUGCAAACACGAAAGUGGACGUAUACGGUGUGACGCCUGCCCGGUGCCGGAAGGUUAAUUGAUGGGGUUAUCCUCGCGGAGAAGCUCUUGAUCGAAGCCCCGGUAAACGGCGGCCGUAACUAUAACGGUCCUAAGGUAGCGAAAUUCCUUGUCGGGUAAGUUCCGACCUGCACGAAUGGCGUAAUGAUGGCCAGGCUGUCUCCACCCGAGACUCAGUGAAAUUGAACUCGCUGUGAAGAUGCAGUGUACCCGCGGCAAGACGGAAAGACCCCGUGAACCUUUACUAUAGCUUGACACUGAACACUGGUCCUUGAUGUGUAGGAUAGGUGGGAGGCUUUGAAGUGUGGACGCCAGUCUGCAUGGAGCCGUCCUUGAAAUACCACCCUUUAAUGGCUGGUGUUCUAACGUGGGCCCGUGAUCCGGGUUGCGGACAGUGUCUGGUGGGUAGUUUGACUGGGGCGGUCUCCUCCUAAAGAGUAACGGAGGAGCACGAAGGUCAGCUAAUCCUGGUCGGACAUCAGGAGGUUAGUGCAAUGGCAUAAGCUGGCUUGACUGCGAGCGUGACGGCGCGAGCAGGUGCGAAAGCAGGUCAUAGUGAUCCGGUGGUUCUGAAUGGAAGGGCCAUCGCUCAACGGAUAAAAGGUACUCCGGGGAUAACAGGCUGAUACCGCCCAAGAGUUCAUAUCGACGGCGGUGUUUGGCACCUCGAUGUCGGCUCAUCACAUCCUGGGGCUGAAGUAGGUCCCAAGGGUAUGGCUGUUCGCCAUUUAAAGUGGUACGCGAGCUGGGUUUAGAACGUCGUGAGACAGUUCGGUCCCUAUCUGCCGUGGGCGCUGGAGAAUUGAGGGGGGCUGCUCCUAGUACGAGAGGACCGGAGUGGACGCAUCACUGGUGUUCGGGUUGUCAUGCCAAUGGCAUUGCCCGGUAGCUAAAUGCGGAAGAGAUAAGUGCUGAAAGCAUCUAAGCACGAAACUUGCCCCGAGAUGAGUUCUCCCUGACCCUUUAAGGGUCCUGAAGGAACGUUGAAGACGACGACGUUGAUAGGCCGGGUGUGUAAGCGCAGCGAUGCGUUGAGCUAACCGGUACUAAUGAACCGUGAGGCUUAACCUUACAACGCCGAAG